rnacentral:rRNA from 1 species
UACAGAGGUCCCAAGCGUUGUUCGGAUUUACUGGGCGUAAAGGGUGCGUAGGUGGCGGGGUAAGUCUGGUGUGAAAGCUCCGAGCUCAACUCGGAAAAGCAUUGGAAACUAUCCCGCUGGAGGGUCGGAGGGGAGACUGGAAUUCUCGGUGUAGCAGUGAAAUGCGUAGGUAUCGAGAGGAACACCAGUGGCGAAGGCGAGUCUCUGGAAAAUACCUGACACUGAGGCACGAAAGCUAGGGGAGCAAACAGG